rnacentral:precursor_RNA from 1 species
AAUAGCGUAUAUUAAAGUUGCUGCAGUUAAAAAGCUCGUAGUUGGAUUUCUGGCUUGAAACAUUUUGCCGGCCACGGUUUCGUGUGUUAGUGCUUGAUGUUCUGGCCAUCCUUCCAAUUGCUAUUAGCUAUUCUUCAUUGAAUGGUUAAUAGUAUUGGAUCUUUUACUUUGAAAAAAUUAGAGUGUUUCAAGCAGGCUUUAUGCUAUGAAUACAUUAGCAUGGAAUAAUAAUUUAGGACUUCGGUUCUAUUUUGUUGGUUUCUAGGACUGAAGUAAUGAUUGAUAGGGAUAGUUGGGGGUGCUAGUAUUCAGCGGCCAGAGGUGAAAUUCUCGGAUUCGCUGAAGACUAACUUAUGCGAAAGCAUUCACCAAGGAUGUCUUCUUUAAUCAAGAACGAAAGUUGGGGGAUCGAAGACGAUCAGAUACCGCCGUAGUCUCAACCAUAAACUAUGCCGACUAGGGAUGAGUGAACGUUGCAUUUUCGACUUCAUUCGCACCUUAUGAGAAAUCAAAGUCUUUGGGUUCCGGGGGGAGUAUGGUCGCAAGGCUGAAACUUAAAGGAAUUGACGGAAGGGCACCACCAGGAGUGGAGCCUGCGGCUUAAUUUGACUCAACACGGGAAAACUUACCAGGUCCAGACACAGUAAGGAUUGACAGAUUGAAGAUCUUUCUUGAUUCUA